ensembl:misc_RNA Metazoa_SRP Metazoan signal recognition particle RNA
GCCAGGCAUGGUGGUGCACGCCUGUAAUCCCAGCUACUCGGGAGGCUGAGGCAGCAGAAUCACUUGCGCCCAGGAGGCAGAGGCUGCAGUGAGCCAAGAUCAUGCCAUUGCACUCCAGCCUGGGCGACAGAGUGAGAGUCUGUCUCAA